UCCAAAGUCAUGAAAUUUGUUGUUCUGCCU
rnacentral:piRNA from 1 species